AGUGAACGCUGGCGGUAGGCCUAACACAUGCAAGUCGAACGGCAGCACAGUAAGAGCUUGCUCUUACGGGUGGCGAGUGGCGGACGGGUGAGGAAUACAUCGGAAUCUACUUUUUCGGGGGGGAUAACGUAGGGAAACUUACGCUAAUACCGCAUACGACCUACGGGUGAAAGCAGGGGAUCUUGGGACCUUGCGCGAUUGAAUGAGCCGAUGCCGGAUUAGCUAGUUGGCUGGGUAAAGGCCCACCAAGGCGACGAUCCGUAGCUGGUCUGAGAGGAUGAUCAGCCACACUGGAACUGAGACACGGUCCAGACUCCUACGGGAGGCAGCAGUGGGGAAUCUUCGACAAUGGGCGCAAGCCUGACCCAGCCAUGCCGCGUGGGUGAAGAAGGCCUUCGGGUUGUAAAGCCCUUUUGUUGGGAAAGAACAGCAGCAGGUUAAUCCCCCGCUGUUCUGACGGUACCCAAAGAAUAAGCACCGGCUAACUUCGUG
rnacentral:rRNA from 1 species